rnacentral:rRNA from 1 species
UACGUAGGGGGCAAGCGUUGUCCGGAUUUAUUGGGCGUAAAGAGCGUGUAGGCGGUCAGAUAGGUCCGUUGUGAAAACUCGAGGCUCAACCUCGAGACGCCGAUGGAAACCAUCUGACUAGAGUCCGGAAGAGGAGAGUGGAAUUCCUGGUGUAGCGGUGAAAUGCGCAGAUAUCAGGAAGAACACCCGUGGCUAAGGCGGGUCUCUGGGCCGUUACUGACGCUGAGGAGCGAAAGCGUGGGGAGCGAACAGG